UGGCAAACCCGCCGAAAGGCGGCGACGCAAAGCUAAAGGGCCUGUAUGGAUGAUGGCAGCCAGCUGC
rnacentral:ncRNA from 1 species